AAUGUAGAGGAUAGUCGGGAAGAACAAAUAGACUAUUUAUAAUAAUAAAUAAAACAAUGAUUGAUACAAUGUGAAGUUCGCACGGGAUACCUUGCAAGGAAGUGUUACACAAAAUAACAACAGUAAGUAUCUGAUUCUCAUAAUGUUGGGGAUUUCCGGCUAUCUUGUUCACGUGAGUUUUCCUGCUUCCAUAGACAGUAGGAACACCGCAAAUUGGAUACAGCGUGUCGCGCCACGUGCGGCCGCGUCAGCUGUCACGUUGCCGAGCACGUGUCGACGCGAGUACAGCGCGGCGUGACGUAACUGCCUGGACAACGGCUACCGAAUACACGCGACGUGAAAGUAGGCGCGUUCCGAUCGUUCCAUUUAUCUGAAUACAAUCUGACGAACUAUUUUUAUGACAAAAAAAAAAAUAUGAAAUGGGCCUUAUUAGAUUAUCCUAUUAUUACGUUUUUGAUAUUAAUUUGUAGAUAAAGUUAUGUAAACGGAGUUUAUUGUAUGGUCUUUAGAAAUGUUUACAGUUGCAACGUUUUACGCAAUGUUUUCGAAUUGUUUUUAAUGUUCAAGGAGCCUCUUGUUUUAAAUUGUAAUAAAUUGAACGAAAAAAAAUAUUAGCGAAGG